rnacentral:lncRNA from 1 species
CUAGGGCCCUCGGGGUGCCAAAAAAUCACGGAAAAACGGAGCUUACCGGCGGCGGCGCUCUCGGGUGCGGCGGCUCUCCGGGGAGGUUCGUGUUUUGGUGAUUCGGCUCCGGUCAACCUGUAAAGAAAAGAAUGGUGAUCACGGUGAUAUAAAAAUUGCAUCAAACGGAGGCCGGGAAGGGCCUCGUCAGAGGCAAAAACCGAGAGGGGGCGCGGCGGCGCCGCUGGUCUUCGGCCGCAUAUUCCGGCCGUUUGGCCGGGAUUUUGGCUUCGAUUUGGCCAUAGGAGGAAUCAGCGUGGAAAAACGAGUCGGGGGUAUGAAAUUUACCUCGAUCGGCGGUCAGAAAUUUCCCCGGUGCGGCGGCGGGUGGCGGCGGUCGGCCUCUGGUUCGUUUUCUCCGGCGAGCGGCAGGCGGCUAGGGUUUGUGGUCUGGUGUGGGGGUUCUAUUUAUAACCCCUUGCCCUUUGAUCUCAGCCGUCCAUUUUGUUUUAAUCUGGGCCGUCCGUUUUUGAUUAAAUCUGGGCCGUCCGUGCGAUUAAAUCUGGGCCGUCCGAUCACGCGAUUGAUCUGGGCCGUCUGAUCGCGCCCACGCGGAUCGCCAAUGUGGCCCGUUCAGGAGCGACGUGGUCUUGCCACGUGGCAGGCCCCGGUUGGCCGGGACUGCUGACCGGGCCUGCUGACGUGGCUGCCGACGUGGCUUUUUUUUUUUCCCCCUCGGUCCGGGCGCUACACAGUAGAUCAAUUAAGCAAGUAGAACAAUACAGAAAAAUAAACAGGAAAUCAAGAUAGUUAUGAACUAACCGGUUCCGACUCCACUAGUAACCUAUAAUUAUUUUUAGGAUUUUUUAAUUUUUCAUAAAAAUACAAAAUUAUACAUCGUUAAGCCUCAAUUUAUCGUAACAGAGAAUAGGGUGAGGGAUCCUUACCCGGAUCAGUGUUUCGAGACGUCGAGCUAUCUAUUAUGCCUCCUAUCGGGUACUGAGUUUCCUGAAUUUUUCUUGUAGAAUUCAAAACACUCGUCACAUACCUAAAAAUACCCUAAAAAUCCAAAUCGGUGUCCAAAACUCAUUCCAGCAAAUUUUAGAGUUCUGGCACGGCACCACCGUCGUGCUUCGGUGCUGACUCUACUGCCCACGGUGGUGGUUCACCUCAGCCUGGUCGGUUUUGGCAAGUUCUUGCCAGUUUUAGCUGUAUUUAUACAGAAAAACAUGUUAGGGGCCUUGAUUUGCUAGGAAAUCACAAAAACUGAACCUACUGGCAGGGGGAACCUCCGGGUGCGGCGGCUCUGCCGAUCCUCCUUCUUGGCUGAGGUUCUUUUUUCAGCUAAUUUACAUAGAAAAUGACGGUGAACACAGUGAUUGAAAAAUUAUGUGAAACGGGAAUCGGGAAGGGGCUCAUCAGAGGGAUUUUAGAGUUUUAGCUACUGCAGCUCCA